rnacentral:rRNA from 1 species
UACGAAGGGGGCUAGCGUUGCUCGGAAUCACUGGGCGUAAAGGGUGCGUAGGCGGGUUUUUAAGUCAGGGGUGAAAUCCUGGAGCUCAACUCCAGAACUGCCUUUGAUACUGAAGAUCUUGAGUUCGGGAGAGGUGAGUGGAACUGCGAGUGUAGAGGUGAAAUUCGUAGAUAUUCGCAAGAACACCAGUGGCGAAGGCGGCUCACUGGCCCGAUACUGACGCUGAGGCACGAAAGCGUGGGGAUCAAACAGG